CCCACUAUGCCCAACCGUAAAAUAUUAACCCACAUCUUAGACCGCCAGGGAAUUACGAGCCCACACUUAAAACCCAAGGGACUUGACGGUGCCCCACCCACCUAGAGGAGCCUGUUCUAUAAUCGACACCCCACGAUACACCUCACCACCCCUAGCACACCCAGUCUGUAUACCUCCGUCGCAAGCUUACCAUAUGAACGUCACAGUGAGCUAAAAGAUAUUCCACCAACACGUCAGGUCAAGGUGCAACUAACGGAACGGAAAGCAAUGGGCUACAAUUUCUACGAUAGAAUAUACAAUAACUGCAUGAAACACAGCCAUCAGGCGGAUUUAGUAGUAAAAAGAAAAUAGAGAGUUCUUUUUAACUCGGCCCUGGGGCGCGUACACACCGCCCGUCACCCUCCUCACCCCUGCAAGAGGAGGCAAGUCGUAACAUGGUAAGCGUACUGGAAAGUGCGCUUGGAUAAACAAAGUAUAGCUUAACCAAAGCAUCUCGCUUACACCGAAAUAGAUGUCAAUAAACCUGACUACUUUGAGCCUAAAUCCUAGCCCCCCCCCACCCACAAAUACUCCCAGAGAAUAAACAAA
rnacentral:rRNA from 1 species